AAAAAAAGGAGGAAACAGAUUAUCACUCGGGCACACAUCUGGUUUUGGUCAGGAUAGCCCCUCAAUUCAGGCAGCAUCCGAGAGAUGGGAGGCUGGAAGCACUGGUCCAAGUAAGUUGCUCACAGUUCUGCAGGGUUCAGAGUUAAGACAGACACAGCGUUUAUCAUGUAUUAUUAAUUGUAUCAAAUGAUUGUUCUUUGCAGCUGCAGCAUGAUAAGCUCUCACCUUUGAAUCCUUAUCUGUGUCCCUCUGCACAACAAACCAUCGGUCAGUCAGUUCAGUUGCUUCUUCAGUAAAUUUUUAAGAGUGGAUACACUUGCCUUUCUUUUGGCCUUGUUGCCGACCUAUCAGGCAAUGCCGCUGCCGUAGCUUGCUCAGGCUGUUCGCCCACUUUUGGCACCGUAUUUGCCUGAAAACAUCAAUGAAGUUAAAAUUUUGCACCUUGAAAACACAAUGAGAAUCCUACUCCAGCUAUUAAUGGUCCUUGACUCACCAGCUUCCUAUAAUGAAGGUUGUAGAACAUGUUUAGGUAAUGCUGUUUGUCCUGCUUCUCUUGUUUAUCCAGAGUCCUCCAGAAGCCAUACAUGGACCCCAUGUUCAGAACUUUGGUUGCAUAGAUCUGCCAGGUGUAGCUGCAAUCGAAGACAACACACAUGUCACACACGAUGGUGGUGGGAUGAUUACCGGAGAUGCAUGCGUUACCAUUCGUAGAUGCGUUGCAGUCCAGCAGUGGACAUUCUGUUCCAGUACAUUGGAUCUUCGUUGCAUUUCUGGAAGAAGUUGGCAAUCUUGUUGCUUGCCUCUUUGCCAUCAAGUGGAUUGAUAUGGAAACCGGAGACCUCAUUGACGAUGAUUUCUGCGGGGCCUCCCUGAUUUGUUGCAAAGGUUGGCAGCCCACAGUUCAUUGCCUCAAUGACAGUUAGUCCGAACGCUUCAUAGAGCGCAGGCUGAAAGAGGUAGCACAGCAUUGGAUUGGAUGGCUAGGUUAGUUCAUUACUAUACUAGCAUCAUAUCACCGUCUGUAUCGUAACUUACCUGAACAAAGGCUCCCCUGGUAUCUGCUACGCAACGGUAAAGUUCCCCGUUGCGCACACGGUCUGUCUGGGCUUUUAUCCAGCGGAUCUGCCCCUUGAGCUGGUACUUGUUGAUCAAACUGUGCAUCUCGUUUAUCUCCUCAAUCUCCUCCCUGUCCUUGGAGUGCUUGGGGUCCAGGAGCCCUCCCACGACUACAAGGUUAGCAAGGUCCCUGAGCCUCUUGUUCUGGCCAUACCAUUCAACCAGCCCAGUGAUGUUCUUGACCUUGUCAAGCCUUGCCAUUGAAAAUAUGACCGGCUUGCUCCUGUCUUGCAAGUACCCUCUGCUUGCAUUGCAUCAUAAAAAGUUGACAUGCCAAGAGUCAAAGGGAAGGAAGCAAGGCUGAUACUUACAUGUGCUCAUCAUUUUCCUCUUUGCCGUAGACUAGCUCCUCGAUCUGUGGGUGCAAGCCCAUGAGGCGCUUGUGCUUUAGUGUGAAGGGGAAAUAAACAGAUUGAUCUGCGCCAGGCGCAGCGAUAUUGAACUUGGGGUCGAAGACGCUGAUGCCUGUAGCGAAGCGGCAGAGCCCUGGCAUUGUGAACGCAUAGUGGCUCUCAUACUGGCCAGGUUUGUCUUUGCUGCAGGGGAGGGGUGUGGUGUGAGAUGGCAUUUGGACAAGCAAAGCAAUGCGCACAAGAGGAAUCUAGACAUUUAUUAUUCAGGCGAUGGCUGACCUUCCUGCUAUUUCUUGGUAGGUGCUAGCGAUGAUGAAGUCGCUGGUGUUCAUCGCGAUCAUAUCAGCAGUAAACUGGCAUGAGAAAUGAUACCUGUGGUCCAUUUCCCUCCACUUGACAUCGGAAUCCUCAUACUUUGUCUUCUCGAGAGCAUGCGCAAUCGUCCCCUGUUACAUCGAUGGUGCUUUCUUUUUUGUCAGGUUUGACUUGAUUGGUACCGGCCGGCACAAGGAGAAGAGAAGGUGUUCCUUCACCUGGGUAACUCCUAGCUUCCUUGACACCAGGUAAGCUACUAAAUUGCCAUCAGUGUAAUUGCCGAUGACCAGGUCUGGUUUGCGCCCCAAUAUAUGAAGGAUCUUGGUACAAGAAUCCUGAUGCCAAGCAGCCAAUGUCAGUCAAUACAUACAUACAAAUGCUAAAGGAAGGACAUGCAAAUUAAACCUGGGCGUAUCUCUCUAGGUAAGGGUAGAUGUCGAAGCGGGAGACCCAGUGGGGCAGAUCCUGGCCAUCUUGGGUCUUGAAUGGCACACGGAGGAUGCUGGAGUGCCUUGUCUUGUCAAUAGGUUCCAGCUCCACGUUGCAGGUGGUGCCCUUUGCUUCUGGUAUGAGCCUUGUGACCUGCAUGCAUUAUCAUCGAUCAGCAACCGGCCGGCAUAAGAUGCAAUGCAUGAUCAUUGCCUACAUACCACAAGGAUGUUGGGCUUGAAAGUGAGGCCCUGCCCUUUGAUUCUUUGAAGAAGCUCCUCCUCAAGCGCUCUAACUUGGUCCAGGAUGUACACGACCUGGCCGCCGGUGUCGGGCAUCCCCAGGACCUUGUGCUGCCCGAAGUAGCCAUGGACGGAGAAGAUGACGACGUCGAACACCGACGGCACCCUGCUGAAGAACCUGUCCACGCUGACAGGGUCCGGCGCCUGGAGCAUCUCGGAGAGGAAGCCCAGCGUCUGGCCGCACGCCCCGGCGGUGUCGCCCCAUCCUUUCUCCAGUCCCCACUCGUGGAACCUGUGCGCCAUCUGCUGGAACGGCGUGUCCGGGUGCUGCUCGGAGACGAAGGCCUGGGCGAGGAGCAGCGCGGCCUGAAGCUUGCCCACCGUGUCGAGGAGGGUGUCGCUGAUGAGUAGCUUAGUGUUCUGGUACCUGAGCGCCAGCAGGUAGUCCAGCAGUGGCUUGAUCUUGUUCACGCCGCCGAGGCUGGAGGACAGGAAUCUGGACAGCAAGUGCAUGCCGUUGCCGAUGGAGGAAGGCAGCGUGAGGCGGGGCGUGGAGAGGCAGAGGCUCAAGUUCACCUCCAGGGAGUUGUCGUCCUGCGCCCAGUGGUCGUCGUAUAGGCUUUCCUUGCGCCUCAGGUAGUCGGAGGGCGUGAUCUGCUGGACGGUGAGGUCGCCGGAGUGGACGGUGAUGUACUCCCAGACGCCAGGGUUCCUCCGCACGGCCAAGGCCACGUAGGGAGGGAGCACCACGGCCUCGUGCGUGCAGGAAAUGACGUGCCCGAGGAAGCUGUCCGAGCUACCGGCGUGGAGCUCCUCCAGGAGAUGCUGCUGCUUCAUGAGCCUGCUGCCCCGGGAGACGUACCGCUGGAAGCAGCUCUUCAUGUAGUACCGGCUCUGGCGCAGAGCUUCGGGCAUCAUGUCGGCGAUGCUGUCCGACCGCCUUGUUGUCAUGAUGCGCGCCAUUAUUAGCUUGCUCCACGAUCGCCUAGCUCCUGGUUUAUGCCAAUCUACUACUAGUAUGUAUAUGUCUAGGAACGAGGAAGGGGAGGACAGAGGAAGGAAGGAAUGAAGGAAGCAAACAUUGGCUUGAGACGCCAGGCAAAGCAAGGCAUUGUCUUUACCUUUACCUUCGAAAUGCUUGCCCCGUCGGUAUAUCAAAAGCACUCAUGUCCUUGAGAUUCUUGUGUUUUUUUUAAGAUUUAGGAGGGAGAGCCCCUACUGAGAUUUUAUUAAAAAUAAGAAAAGAAAAUGUUACAACUUAGCCUAGUUACAAAACGUAAUCCAAAAGAUCUAAUUAUGUAGUUUACAAGCAUUGGAGCAAGUAGAACAACUCUUAUGUCUGCCACGAACUCAGCCAAUUCGGGAUGGAAAUGUCAAAAUUCCCACGUGCUCUGUGAAUGAUCAACCGCAGCUCCUUACAGAAUUCUUGCGUACAGUGAUGAACCGAAGGAUCUUUAUUUGCAAAUAGCCAUUCAUUUCGGCUUUUCCAGAUGCUCUAAGUCAUGAGAAUAAUAAUCUCCAUAGAGAAAGGGACGUUAAGUUGGUGUUUAAGGUUUGCUGAGGCCUCCUCUGGAUUAGAAAUUCUGGGGGUUAUUCCAAUUGAGUUCCAGCAGGCUUUUGCAAAAUUGCAUCUGAGGAACAAAUGAUAAAGAGUCUCCUCUCUUUGCCAUAAACAAUUCUCACAUGAGUAAGAUUCCAGAGUCAUGUUUUUCCUUCUUAGCAUAUCUCUGGUAUUUAGGGGCUGUUUGGUUCGUGGCUAAAUGUGCCACACUUUGCCUAAGGUUAGUCGUUCGAAUUGAAGAACUAACCUUAGGCAGAAAAGUUAGACAAAGUGUGGCAAGUUAGGCAUCAAACCAAACAGCCCUUUAGUCUAUUUUUAAGCCACAACCAAUAGAAAACUCUAUGCUUAGGCUGGCAUUUGCUCUUCCAUAAGUGUCUGUAGAUAGGGUGAACCUGCGUCUGGCCCAUAAAAUGCCUGUAAGCUUUUUGAGAAGAGUAGUUGUCAGAGCCCCAAAUGUAUCGCCAACGGUCGUGAACAUUACUUAGGGCAAUUUGUUCCCAGACCACCUGCAACUCCAGAUACUGAUCAUAAGCUUGCUCAGAAAUAGGCAAAUGGAAAAAACCAGCGAACUGAUCCUGCUCUUUAGCUUCUUUUUUGAUAGACAGUUUUGUGUUUUUGACAAAAGAGAAUAGUUCUGGAAAUUUUUUGUCUUGGGAUGUUCUGGCUCCACUGAUCAUCCCAGAACGAAAUUGAUCUACCAUUGCCAAUGACUGGGUGCGCCAGGCCCUUAAAGUUGGGAAGGAGUUUGAUCAUGCUCUUCCACCAGAAAGAACCAAUGUUUCUAUGACCUGGUAGUCCACGGGACAAAUAAUAAUUAUCCCAUAUGAGAUUCACCCAGGGUAAGUCAUUGUUAUUGAAGAAUUUAUGCAAAAAUUUGAUCAGAAGAGCCUCGUUUUGGGUUUCAAGGCGAAGCACCCCCAGCCCGCCAUUCACUUUUCUCUGAGUAACCGAAACCCAUGCAAUCAGAGGCGGCUUCUUGGAACUAAGGUCAUUCCCUCUCCACAGACAGUUUUUCCUAAAAAUGUCUAUUUGCUUAAUGAUGGUUUUAGGAAUCUUGAGCGUACACAUAAAGAAGGUUGGCAAAGCUGAAAAGACUGAAUUUACCAACACCAAGCGCCCAGCUUGAGAUAAAAAAUUUGAAGAGCAUGACAAUCUCUUUUCAAUCCUUUGGAUAAGAAGCAGAAAGUGCUGCUUUCUGGGUUUCGCAAGGCCCAGUGGCAAUCCAAGAUAGGUGAAUGGCAUUUCUCCAAUCUGGCAAUUGAGAGUUCGAGAGAGGAUCUCCAUCUUCUCAGAAGGCACAUUUAUUGGAUACAUAUUUGAUUUGUUAUAGUCAACCUUUAGGCCAGUAGAAGAUGCAAAUGAGUUGAGAAUUGCCUUAAGGAAGAAAAGUUGCUUUGGACAAGCCUCCAGAAUCAAAAGAGUAUCAUCUGCAUACUGAACAAUCGAGAAAUCCUGGUCACCAAUAGCAGGUAAAGGAAGCUUAAGAAGAUUCAAAAGCCUGGCCUUAUUAAUAAUGCUCUGAAGAAGGUCGGCCGCCAAGACGAACAACAGUGGCGAAAGAGGGUCUCCUUGUCUAACACCUCGUUUGCAAUGGAAGGAUUUACCAGGGACGCCAUUGAGUAACACCGAAGAAGUGCCAGAAAGUAGGAUGCUCCGAACCCAGUUAAUCUACUUAGGACCAAAGCCUUUGUGGAUCAAAACCUGAAGAAUCAGUUCAUGCUCUACAGUGUCAAAAGCCUUUUCGAAGUCUAGUUUAAGCACAAUGAUUUCUUUCUUUGAGGAGUGGCAUAAGUGAAUGUAUCCAUAAGCCCAAGCCAAGAAAUCCUGAAUAGAUCUACCCUUGAUGAAACCAUAUUGGUUCCUAUGAAUUAAUCGAGACAUGAACGGUUGCAGACGAUUUGCCAAAAGCUUCGUUAAGAUUUUCAUACUAUUGUUUAAUAACGAAAUUGGCCUAUAAUCUCCCACCUUCUGCGGAUUCUCCUUCUUCGGGAUCAAAACAAUGAAGGACCCAUUAAUACUUCUUAGGCAAACUUCAUCAUGAUAGAAUUUUUCACAAAGAUCAUAUAAGUCUUGAGCAAUGAUAUGCCAACACUUCUUAAUGAAGUUGGUAUUGAAACCAUCAGGACCAGGUGAUUUAUCCGAAGGUAAUGAUUUUAUAAUGCUGUCAAUCUCCAUCUUAGUGAACGGGGUGUCUAACUCGUGAAGCUCCUCAUUACGGAUUAAAAGCUCUGGAAGGUCAAAAUCAAUGCCUGAGAAAUCAAACGAUCCCAAUCUGCACUUGAAAGCAUCCCAGAGAAGACCAGAUUUAUGUUCGUGCUCAAAAUGUAUGAUCCCAUUCUCGUCAGUCAAAGUGGCAAUUGAAUUUUUCCUGUGUUUAAUGGUGGCAUGAGCAUGGAAGAAACGAGAGCAAAUGUCACCAUCAGUUACCCACUUAAUAGCCGCCCGCUGCUUCCAAUAAAUUUUCUGAAUGUUUAGCAGAUCGGCCACCUUUUGCUGCAGAAUAUCUCUGAAAUUCCAUUCCUCAAUAGAAAGAUCCCGAUGUUCUUCCAUAUUGUCUAUAAGUUCAAUUAGCAGCUUGAUGUUUUGCACCGUUUUAUCAAUUUUUGGUAACGAUCUCUGCCAAUCCUUCAGAACCUUUCGAACACACUUAAACUUGGCAGUCAGGUUUUUAGCCUUGUCAGGAAGGCAAGGGAGCCCAGCCCACGUGGUUUGAAAGAAAUUCAAGAAACCGUCCAAUUCGAGCCAGAAGUUUUCAAUCCGAAAAAUCUUAGGUUUAGGGAUCUUGGACUUAAAAGAUUCUUGUGUUUUUACCUGACUGGUUAACUGCUGAUGGAGAUUCUUGUGUUAGCUAUUGUUGACGAGCAAAACAAAUGUUUGACAAACUCAGUCGCUAGGCUAAGAGGAAGCCAAGUAAUAGUGGUCCCAUACUCCCAUUCCAUUCCAUUCCAUUGGCACCAUCCGGAUGUGUUAUUGUGUUGUGUAGGCGGUGGAGGCUGGGGCUUCCGGUAGCUAGCCUAAAAGUAGCGGCGGCGUAGCUAGGAUAUGCCAUUAGAAUAUUUUUAUAAAUAAUUUAAUACAAUAUAUAGUAAUUUGGUAUACACUUCAAAAUAUAAAGAUAAAAAUAGCAUAUAAAACUAUAGGCUUAACAUUUAAGUCUAUAAAUGUAUAUGUUAGAAAAUAUAAUAUAUAUAUAUAUCAUUAUUUUUUCCAUGGGUCAUGGUGGACUGGUGAUCCGGUGGGUCGGCUUAUAAGGUGUUUGGUUUGAGAAAUGAGCUAGUCCAUCAUCUUAUAGGGUAUGAUGUGGUCCACUCGGACCACUGUCUACGCCACUGAAAAGUAGGGAAGUUGUUUGAUUUUUAAAAUGUUCAAACGCCGGUAGUAUAAAAGUGGACAUAAGUUCAAAUAAACAUCGCCGGACCUACUUCGUUUCCCCCCGCUUUGAUCCACAUUCUUCAAAGCAAACCCUGGAUCACAUAUAGGAAUUUUAGAAACAUCUUUUUUGCCUUACUUUUUCGUCUACAUUCCUUGGUUAAGACUUUAUAGUCUUGAUUUGAAAGAUUUAGAGGAGCCUCGUUCCACCUCCAAUUUGAGCAAGCAAUGAAUUUUUCUGUAAAUGGAUCACAACAGAAACAACAGAAUUUCCGAUGGUCGUCCUAAUUUUCGAUGCCUAACCUAAGUACCGUCGGACAUAACAUUAUGUCCGACGGCCUACAACGACCAUCGGGCAUAAGGUUAUCUCCGAUGGCACUUACAUCACCCGUCGGAAAUAGCCAAUUUCUAGGUAACGACCGGCAGACGCCAAACACGUCUCAUUAGCGCACACGUCUGCCAUCUCCACGUCUCUGAGCCACCACUCUCCACGCCGUCGCCCGGUCGCCGACACCUCUCCAUGCUGCUGCCACGGUCGCCACCGCGCCGACCUCAUGUCUCGCACCACCGCCACCUCUGCCUUUGCCUCGCUCGCUACGUAGCCGGCUUGGAGCCGCACCCGUGCCACCGCCCAUGUGUUUACUAUUGUAGUCAGUGCAACCAAACUUUAGUCAGGAAACCAAACACCCCCGAAGUCCAUGCAUUUGCCAUUGUAGUUUGCAUUGACUUUAGUUUGAUUGGUGUAGUUGCUCUAUACUAUUAUCUAUUAUGUAUGGUCCAUAGCACAUGUCUUCACAAUUGAACAACGUUCUUCGUGUCUCUGGUUCGUCUCCUGCGUUUUGGUCGGCCAAUAAGGUUGAUUUUGGCCUCCCAUGACUUAUAAACGAUAUUUUCGUUGUCGAACAACGAUUCCAUGUAUCCCGUCCGCGAACAAUGUUUUGGUUCCUGACACCGGUAAGGCUAUUUUUUUGCGUUCUAGUGAGCUAUAGCACACAUUUUUAUGGCCGAACAACCAUUUUUAUGUCUCCAGUCCACCUCCGACGUUUUAGUCCCUUAGGCCAGUAAGACCAUUUUUGGCCCCCGUGAGCUAUAGUGCACGUUUUCAUGGCCGAACAACCAUUUUUAUGUCUCAGUUCCGCUACCGACAUUUUGGUCCCUAAGCAUAGUAAAACAGUUUUUGGUCUCCCAUGAGCUAUAACACACGUUUCUAUGGCCAAACAAUUAAUUUCAUGUCUCCGGUCCACCACCAACAUUUUAGUACCCGAAGGUCGGUAAGACAUUUUUCGCCAUGCGUAAGUUAUAGCACAUGUUUUUAUGAUCAAUAGUCAUUAUAUGGCUUCGUUCUGCCACCCACAUUUUGGUCCCUAGAGCACGGUAAGAGCAGUUUUAGUCUCCCGUGAGUUAUAAUACACAUUUCUAUGGCUAAACAACCAAUUUCAUGUCUCCUAUCCGCCACCCAUGUUUUGGUCCCCAAGACCGGUAAGGCUAUUUUUGGCCUCUAGUGAGCUAUAACACACAUUUUCAUGGCAAAACAACCAUUUUUUAUGUCUAUGUUCCGCCACCCAUAUUUUGGUCUUCGUAGCACGAUACAUACAGUUUUUGGCCUCCCGUGGGCUAUAGCAAACAUUCCCAUGGCCAAACAAUGAAUUUCUGCCACCCAUAUUUUGGUCUUCGUAGCACGAUACAUACAGUUUUUGGCCUCCCGUGGGCUAUAGCAAACAUUUCCAUGGCCAAAUAAUGAAUUUCAUGUCUCCAGUCUACCACCUAUGUUUUAGUCUGCGGAGAUCGGCAAGGCAUUUUUGGCUACCACAUGUUUUUAUGACAGAAUAGUCAUUUUCAUGUCUACGGUUCACCUCCCAUGUUUUCAUCCCCUAAGCCUGGUGAUGCUAUUUUUGGCCUCUUAUAACCUACAACGAACGUCUUCACGAUCGAACUUUAUUCAUGUCUCUGGUCUGCCAACUACGUUUUGGUCCCUUAGGCCAGUAAGUAUGUUUUGGCCUACCGUGAGCUAUAGCACACGUUUUCAUGGCCAAACAACCAUUUUGUGUCUUCGGUCCACCACCUACAUUUUAGUCCUUGGAGAUCGGUAAUGCAUUUUUAGGCAACCGUGCAUUUUUAGGCAACUGUGAGCUAUAGCACAAGUUUUUGUGGUCGAAUAGUCAUUUUCAUAUAUCCGGUCUGCCACCUACGUUUCAGUCGCUAGAUGUCGGUAUGACUUUUUUGGCCACCAAUGAGCUAUAACACACAUUUUUGGGUCAAAUAAUCAUUUUCAUGUCUCAGGUCUGCCACCUAUGUUUUAGUCCUUAGAGGCCGCCGAUAAGGCAUUUUUGGCCACCUGUGAGCUAAAACACACGUUUUUAUGUCUGCAUAUAUAAUCAUUUUCAUGUCUCUGGUCUGCCACCUAGGAUUUCAUCACAUAAGGCUAGUAAGGUUGUUUUUUGCCUCUCGUGACCUAUAACACAUGUUUCGUCGUCGAACAACGAUUUCAUGUUUCUCGUCUACCACCUAUGGUUUGGUCCCUGAGACUGGUAAGACUGUUUUUGGCCUUUGGUGAGCUAUAUCACAUGUUUUCAUGGUCGAAUAGCCCUUUUAUAUCUCUGUUCCGCCGCACGCAUUUUGGUCCCAGAGCUCGGUAAAACCAUUUUUUGGCCUCCCAUGAGUUAUGACACACAUUUCCAUGGCCAAAUAGCCAAUUUCAUGUCUCCGGUCUACCACCUACGUUUUAGCCCCCGGAGGCCGAUAAGGCAUUUUUGCCCACCCGUGAGCUAUAACACAUGUUAUGUCCGAACAGUGAUUUUUAUAUCUCUAGUCCACCACCCACGUUUUCAUCUCCUAAGGCAGGUGAUGCUAUUGUUGGCCUCAUGUGACCUAUACCACACAUCUUCAUUACCGAACAUUGUUCUUCAUGUCUCAAAUCUGCCUCCUAUGGUUUUGGUCUCUCGUGAGCUAUAGCUCACAUUUUCAUAGCCAAACAACCAUUUUUAUGUCUCUAGUGCACCGACGUUUUAGUCCCCGGAGGUCUUAAGGCAUUUUGGGCCACUCGUGAGCUAUAUCACAUGUUGUUAUAGUCGAAUAGUCAUUUUCAUGUGUCAGGUUUGCCACCGACGUUUUAGUCACCGGCGGUUGAUAUGACAUUUUUGGCCACCCAUGUCUGCUAUAGCACACGUUUUAAUAGACAAAUAAUCAUUUUCAUGUCCCUAGUUCGCCACCCAAGGUUUCAUCUCCUAACGCUAGUGAUGCUAUUUUUGGCGUCCCAUGACCUAUAGCACAUGUCAUCAUGAUAAAACAACGUUUUUCAUGUCUCCAGUUUGCCUCCUAUGUUUUGGCCCCUUAGACCAGUAAGGUUGUUUUUCUCUCCCAUGACUUAUAACACAUGUUUUUGUUGCCAAACAAUGGUUUCAUGUCUCUCAUCCACAACCCAUGAUUUGGUCCCUAAGACUCGUAAGGUUGUUUUUGGCCUCUAGUGAGCUUUAGCACACGUUUUCAUGGCCGAACAACCAUUUUAUGUCUCCAUUUCGCUAGCCACUUUUGGUCCCGGGGCUCGACAAAAGCAGUUGUUGGCUACUAUUGAGCUAUUACACAUGUUUCCAUGGCCAAACAACCAAUUUCAUGUCUCUGGUUCGCCACCUACGUUUUAAUCCCCGGCGUCUUGUAAGGCAUUUUGGCUACCCGUGAGCUAUAACAAACAUUUUUAUGGCCAAAUAGUCAAUUUCAUGUCUCUGGACCGUCACCCAUGUUUUCAUCCCUUAAAACCAAUGAGGCUAUUUUUGGCAUCCCCAAAGGCUAUUUCUGGAGGUCGGUAGCACAUGUUUUUAGGGUUGAAUAGUCAUUUUCUUGUGGUUGGUCUGCACUAACGUUUUCAUCCCCUAAGGUCGGUAGCACACGCCUUCAUGACCGAACAACAUUCUUUAUGUCUCGGUCUGCCUCCUAUGCUUUGGGCCCUUAGGCUAGUGAGGUUGUUUUUGGCCUCCCCUAACUUAUAACACAUGUUUUCAUCGUCAAACAAUGAUGUCAUGUCUCUCUUCAGCCACCCAUGUUUUGGUGCCUAAGACUGGUAAGGCUGUUUUUCGCCUCGUGUGAGCUAUAGCACACUUUUUCAAGGUUGAACAACCAUUUUUGUGUCUCCAUUCUGCCCCCACAUUUUGGUCCCCGGAGCAUGGUAAUGCAGUUUUUGGCCUCCUGUGAACUAUAACACACGUUUCCCUAGCCAAACAACCAAUUUUAUGUCUCCAGUCCACCACAUAUGUUUUAGUCCAUAGAGGCUGGUAAGACAUUUUUGGCAACCCGUGAACCAUAGCUCACAUUUUGUGGCCAAUUAGUCAUUUUCAGGUCUUUUUGUCCCCAAUCCACAAUUUCAACCACUAAGGUCGGAGAGGCAAUUUUUGGCCUCUCAUGUCCUAUAGCAAAUGUCUUCAUGGCAGAACAAUGUUCUUCAUUUCUCUAGUCUGCAUCCUACGGUUUGGUCACAUAGCCAGUAAGGCUAUUUUUGCCCUUCCAUGAGCUACAACACACGUUUUCAAGGCUGAACAACCAAUUUUAUGUCACUGUUCUUCCACCCACAUUUUGGCCCUGAAGCACAGUAAAGUAGUUUUUGGCCUCCCGUGAGCUAUAGCACAUGUUUCCAUGGCCAACCAACCAAUUUCAUGACUUCGGUCCACAACCUACGUUUUAGUCCCCAUAGGUCGGUAAGAUUUUUUGGCAACUCGUGAGCUAUAGCACACAUUUGUAUGGCCUAAGUGUCAUUUUCAUGUCUCCGGUACUCAACCCACAUUUUCAUCCACUGAGGCUGGUGAGAGCGUGAGGUUAUUUUUCAUGUCGCAUGACCUAUAGCACAUGUCUAUAUAACCGAACAACGUUCUUCAUGUUUCCAGUCUGCCUCCAACGUUUGGGUCCCUUAAACUAGUAAGGUUAUUUUUGGCCCCGUUACUUAUAACACAUUCUUUCCUCGCCGAACUACGAUUCCAUGUCUCCCGCCCACCACCCAUGUUUUUGUCCCUCAAAGUGGUAAGGCUGUUUUUGACCUCUAGUGAGCUAUAUAGGACACAUUUUCAUGGUCGAAGAACUAUUUUUAUUUCUUUGUUCUGCCACCCACAUCUCGGUCCCUGGAGCAUGGUAAAAGCAAUUUUUAGCCUCAUGUGACCUAUAGCACACGUUUCCAUGGCCAAACAGACAAUUUCAUGUCUCCGUUCUGCCACCUAUGUUUUAAUCCUCGGUGGCCGGUAAGACAUUUUCGGUCACUCGUGAGCUAUACCACAUGUUUUUAUUGCUAAAUAGUCAUUUUCAUGUCUCUGGUCUGCCACCCACGUUUUCAUCCCAUAAUGCUGGUGAGGCUAUUUUGGUCUCCCGUGACCAAUAGCAGGCGUCUUCAUGACCAAACAACAUUCUUCAUGUCUCUGGUCCUCCUCCUACGUUUUGGUCCCUUAGGCUAGUAAGGUUGUUUUGGCCUCCUAUGACUUAUAACACAUAUUUUUGUUGUCGAAUAACAAUUUCAUGUCUCUCGUUCGCCGCCCAUGUUUUGAUCCAUGAGAGUGGUAAUGUUGUUUUGGCCUCUGGUGAACUAUAACACAUAUUUUCAUGACCAAACAACGGUUUUUAUUUCAAAUUUCUUGCACCGAUAUUUUGGUCACCAGAGAAUGGUAAAAGCAGUUUUUGGCCUCCCGUGAGCUAUAGCACACGUUUGCAUGGCCAAACAGAUAAUUUCAUGUCUCUAGUCUGCCACCUACAUUUUAGUACCUGUAGGUCGGUAAGGCAUUUUUGGCCACCCGUGAGCACACGUAUUUGUGGCCGAAUAGUCAUUUUCAUGUCUCCGUUCUGCCACCCGUGGUUUCAUCCCCAAUGGCCGAUGAUGCUAUUUUUGGCCUCCUGUGACCUAUGGCACACGCUUUUACGACCGAACAACUUUCUUCAUUCCUCUGGUCUGCCUCCUACAUUUUGGACCCUUAGGCUUGUAAGGUUGUUUUUGCCUCCAGUAACAUAUAACACAUGUUUUUUGUCGUCGAACAAUGAUUUCAUGUCUCCGAUCCCCCACCCAUGUUUUGGUCCCAAACAAGGUAAGGCUACUUUUUGUAACACCCUAGAAUAAUGUCUUAGAGAAAAGUUUGCAAAAGAUGUUGGAUUAGAAAUGCUUUUAAUGAAGAGUUUAUUAGCUUUAAAAGACAAUUCUCUUAAAAUAAAUAAAUGGUAGUAUUAAAAUUCAGUUAUUCAAAGUUAUGCUUAGGUCUUGAAACUAGAAUUUGAAUUUGAUACUAUCUGGAAUUUUCAAUUAUUCAGGGGAGUGAAUUAAUUUUCAUGGAUCACAUAUUAAUAUUACUCAAAGGAAUGAUAAGAAGAUAUUUUUUCUUGGAUUAUGCCUUCAAAAAUAUUAAUGAAUAAAUAAAUAUUGGCAGGAUAUAAAAUUCAUGUAAAUUUAUACUAUGCAUCAUGCUAGAGUUUUGAAUGUACAUCUAGUUUUAUUUGAGAUUUAAACUCAGAUUUUAAAGCCAAAAAAUCAGAUUUGAAAAUAGCAAUUCAAAAAUAGGAAAAGAAAAAGGGAGAAAUGCUUGCUUUGCUGGAAUCCUUCACACCGCCGGCCCAACCACCACCGUGGCCCACUUCAAGCCGCAUAAACCAGUUGCAUCCACGCGCGCGAUCGAUCUACUAACGGGCGGGACCCUCUCGUCAGCCUCCCCCCCGUCAUGGCAUUGUAUCUCUUCCUCCUCGUCUUCCACUCGCCGAAGUGAACGCCUAGAUCCAUGUCGACAUCUCCAGCAGCCGCCCAUGCCGACCGAUUCGCCCACGUCUCCAACCUAUAAAAGCAUGGCCUCGUGACCUCCUUCGGCUAUGGGCUAAAGCUCGAACCACCCUCGCACAUCGUUGACGGAAUCAUGGAGGGUGGAGCAUCGUUGCGGGGGGGGGGGGGGGGGGGGGGGGGGGGGGGCGGGGGGGGGGGGGGGUUUGGGGGGUGGAAGGAAUCAAGCCGACGUCGAUGAACCACAUGUACACCGUCGUCCAGGUCACGCCGUAUGGCACCGAGUGUUCGCCCUGAUGCACCGCGUGCGCCCGUGGCAUCAUUUAGCGUGGUGGCGUCGCGGACUGCGACAAAUCACUCGUCGGGCUUGGUGCUCGCAGCCAAGCCACCGAUCGCCGUGGCCAGCGUCCAACCCUGCAGCAAGUUCAGUAAGAAGACCUCGGUUGAAUCCGCGGUAUAUACAAGAUCGUGUAGCUCCCCUCUGAUCGAAGUUUUGGGUUGCGAAUGGGAGAAUUGGGGGAGGGCGCCAAUGGAUGCCGCCAUGGGUUGGGCGGCGCUGCCAUCUGUUGAUGGCUGGUGGAUGGGUAGGAUGGGGGAAAACGUUGUGGCCACCGAUUUCUGCAUCAACAGCUGGGAUUGGGCCGAGCAUACCUCUUUGGCUAGAUUAAAUCUUGGUCGUUAGAUCGGAUCCGAGGGAUGGGUGUGGCUGAUGGCGUGGACGCACUUCGGCCAUGGAUCUCUGAUCCUGCGGCUAGGAACCCUUACCAGUGUAUAAAGUAUGGGGAUCUAAUCGCAGCCGUUGAUCAUGUAUCGGAAGGCUCAGCUUUCCCCAUACCCCUUCGUCGUGACUUUUAGCUAAAGUGGCCCUCAGAUUGAUUCUAUUUAACCCACAGUUUAGGUUAGUAUUAAAACCAUUACUGAGAGGCCCUGGAAUUAAUGAAAACAACCCUGAAUCCUCGGAUAUUUAUGCCCGCGGUUAAGAAUACUCAAUAUACUUAUAAAUAAAUUCAAAAAUAGUUUCCUUUAUAAAAACAAUUCAUAGAUAUUGGAAAACCCCAUAACUUCUUCAUUUUAACUCUGCUUUAGUCUGUUCCUGUUGCGUUAGCUUCUUAAUAAGUUUGCCUACACAUUAAAAGCAUUAUUUCUAUCAUCCCACAUACUUUUAUAAUUGGAUAUUUAUUUAACUUAUGUUUAUUAGACUAACUCUUCUAAUCUAGGCUAAUAUGUUUAUAAUUAUAAAUUUUACUAAAAUAUUAUCUCUAAUCAAGUUAUAAUGAGGUAUCUCUUUAGAUUAUCUUUCUCACAUGAUUUAUAAGAUCAACAUAAGACCUAGUUUAAAUUGCUUAAUCGCAUAGGUCUUCCAAAAACCAUAUCUCUUUAACCACAACUCUAAUUUCAGUAAUUCUCAAACCCACGAUCUUGUAGCAGCGCAUAUAAUAUUCUUAAGUUGUUUGUUCUCAUGAUUGGUGUACUGUUAUUUUUAUGUGCUUCUUGUCUAUUUGUAUGUAUUGCUACGAAUAGCGGUGAGGUCACGAGAAUCUGAAGACCAACUUGGUACCUGGUAUCUCGAGUCUAAGGCAAGUUGUGCCCUUGAUCACUAUUCUUUACCUAAUAAUGAUCUCUGUUACUCACUGUGACAUGCUCAGGUUAAUUUGAUGGGACCUAAUAGGUUUCCCUAGUUCUGUUUACUCGAGCCUUCGCAGACAAAUGAACUAUUGGGUAGACUUGCUAUUGUUUUACCUGGUUUUAGAAUUAAUGUUACAUUUGAAUUAUGAUCAUGUUCCAAUUAUGUUGUAGUUUUAAUUAUUGUUCAUGACAAGAUAAUUGUCUUAAUUGGAACAUGGAGCUUAACUUGAGAUAAUCGUGCUACCACAAUGGUGGAAUGGGACGCCCUUGGCUGACUAAUUAGGAAAGCUAGUGGAGGACUACCUUACCCGAAAGGGGCAAGGGCGGUAGAGGAGCUAUGGUAUAGGGAGGUUCUCGGGUCGAUCAUGCUGCGAUGGCUUUUCGAAUGAGGGAUUCCUAUAUUGCCCUUCUCAGAAACCGUAGCAGGUUUUCUGAAGCUAGUGGAACUUUGUAAAUGCCUCGUAGUGCUACUUUGCCUUGUCUCCUCGGCAGAUAUGAAUGGGAAGUCAUGAUCCCUUAGCAAAUGGGUAACACAACUUGUAGGUGAAGGGUGCAAGCUCUGCAGAGUGUAAAACUGGUAUAUCAGUCGUGCUCACGGUCAAAAGCGACUCAGGACUCGCAUUAUUAAUUUAUAGAACUAAACUUAAUUUGCCAUAUGCAUUGCAUUGUGGGUGUUAUUAUUAAUUUGAUCUCUUAUUUAUUUGGGUUGGUAUCUACUUAUGCCCAGUAACUACUAAUAAAACUUUGACCAAAUUUAAAAGCAAUGCUCAUCUUUAAUCAUCUCCUUUGGUAAGCCUUACACUUCAUAUGAGCCCCACUGUAAGUGGACUCAUAUUCAUUAUUCCCCACAACUUGUUGAGCGAUGAACGUAUGUGAGCUCAGCCUUACUGUACUCACAUCCCCUCAGGUCAAGAAUAAAUACUGCACAAUGAGGAGCAUGAAGGAUGUUGUGAUGUGUUCAUUAGAG
rnacentral:lncRNA from 1 species